rnacentral:rRNA from 1 species
AGAGUUUGAUCCUGGCUCAGAAUCAACGCUGGCGGCGUGCCUAACACAUGCAAGUCGAACGCGAAAGCGGGCUUCGGUCCGCAAGUAGAGUGGCAAACGGGUGAGUAUCGCGUGGGUGACCUACCUUCGAGUGGGGGAUAACCUUCCGAAAGGGGGGCUAAUACCGCAUAACAUCCCGCUCUUGGACGAGCGGUGAUCAAAGCCGGGGAUCGCAAGACCUGGCGCUUGUUGAGGGGCCCGCGUCCGAUUAGCUUGUUGGUGAGGUAACGGCUCACCAAGGCUCCGAUCGGUAGCCGGCCUGAGAGGGCGGACGGCCACACUGGGACUGAGACACGGCCCAGACUCCUACGGGAGGCAGCAGUGGGGAAUUGUUCGCAAUGGGCGAAAGCCUGACGACGCAACGCCGCGUGGAGGACGAAGAUCUUCGGGUCGUAAACUCCUGUCGAGCGGGAAGAACAGCGUGCGGGUUAAUACCCCGUGCGCCUGACGGUACCGCUAAAGGAAGCCCCGGCUAACUCCGUGCCAGCAGCCGCGGUAAUACGGGGGGGGCAAGCGUUGUUCGGAUUUACUGGGCGUAAAGGGCUCGUAGGCGGCCAUCUAAGUCGGUUGUGAAAUCCCUCGGCUCAACCGGGGAACUGCGACCGAUACUGGGUGGCUUGAAGCCGGGAGAGGGAUGCGGAAUUCCAGGUGUAGCGGUGAAAUGCGUAGAUAUCUGGAGGAACACCCGUGGCGAAGGCGGCAUCCUGGACCGGUCUUGACGCUGAGGAGCGAAAGCUAGGGUAGCAAACGGGAUUAGAUACCCCGGUAGUCCUAGCCCUAAACGAUGAAUGCUUGGUGUGGCGGGUAUCGAUCCCUGCCGUGCCGUAGCUAACGCGUUAAGCAUUCCGCCUGGGGAGUACGGUCGCAAGGCUGAAACUCAAAGGAAUUGACGGGGGCCCGCACAAGCGGUGGAGCAUGUGGUUUAAUUCGACGCAACGCGAAGAACCUUACCUGGGUUUGACAUCAUGGGAAAAACUGUAGAGAUACAGUGUGCGUAAGCGUCCAUAACAGGUGGUGCAUGGCUGUCGUCAGCUCGUGUCGUGAGAUGUUGGGUUAAGUCCCGCAACGAGCGCAACCCUCGUUCUAUGUUGCCAGCACGUAAUGGUGGGGACUCAUAGGAGACUGCCGGGGACAACUCGGAGGAAGGUGAGGACGACGUCAAGUCAGCAUGCCCCUUAUAUCCAGGGCUGCACGCAUGCUACAAUGGCCGGUACAACGGGCAGCGAUCCCGCGAGGGUGAGCGAAUCCCUUAAAGCCGGUCUCAGUUCGGAUUGAAGUCUGCAACUCGACUUCAUGAAGCCGGAGUCGCUAGUAAUCGUGGAUCAGCAAUGCCGCGGUGAAUACGUUCUCGGGGCUUGUACACACCGCCCGUCACAUCACGAAAGUUGGCAAUGCCCGAAGUCAGUGGUCCAACCCUUUUGGGAGGAAGCUGCCGAAGGUAGGGUCAGCGAUUGGGAUGAAGUCGUAACAAGGUAACC